rnacentral:lncRNA from 1 species
GACCACACAAACAGAAGAGCACAAAAAGGACACCGAAUUGGGAGGGCAGAGAAUCCAAGUCCAUCCCAAAACCCUAACAAAUGACAGAGAGACGCAGAGAGAGAGAGAGAGAGGAAGUAUUUAGUGUUUUACUGCGACGCGCGCGUGUGAAUUUCCAUUUCCAGACGUAAUUGGGACGGUGACACGUGUUGUGGUUGAACUUGGACGCAAUUGCGGAAUCU